AGAGGGACUAUGUCUCUCCGCUGGCCUGGGAACGCCUUGAGCUCCGCCUGAGGAGCUGGAAGAGGUGUCUGGGGAGAGGGACGUCUGGGUGUCUCUGCUGAAUCUGCUGCCCCAGCGACUCGGAAGAUGAUGACGAAAGCAUGCAAGGAUAGUAGAAGACUGGGCUGGUCUCAGGCCUGUUCGCAGCAAAGUCCGACUGGAGCGUGAAACCAUACGGUCCGGCGCCUCCACGAUUGAGGUGAUACACGACUACGGCCAUGGCGGUUUUGGGCUCACCAUUCACCGAGGCUGUGCCGAGGAGGCAGCGAGGCUGUUUGGUCAGAUCGUGGAACAGAAAGGCAAACGUCCAAAAGCUCGCCUGUAGUGUUGAGUCAAGCAUCAGUGAUCGGCACUCCUGGUGUUCUCAACAAAACUAACAAUUAAAGCUAAGAUAUAUUCUG